rnacentral:rRNA from 1 species
CAGCAGCCGCGGGAAUACGAAGGGGGCUAGCGUUGCUCGGAAUUACUGGGCGUAAAGGGUGCGUAGGCGGUUGUUUAAGUCUGUUGUGAGAUCCCCGGGCUCAACCUGGGAAUGGCAAUGGAAACUGGACGGCUAGAGUGUGUCAGAGGAUGGUGGAAUUCCCGGUGUAGCGGUGAAAUGCGUAGAGAUCGGGAGGAACAUCAGUGGCGAAGGCGGCCAUCUGGGACAACACUGACGCUGAGGCACGAAAGCGUGGGGAGCAAACAGGAUUAGAUACCCCCGUAGUCCCUGUCUCUUAUAC